rnacentral:rRNA from 1 species
CCUACGGGAGGCAGCAGUGGGGAAUAUUGCACAAUGGGCGCAAGCCUGAUGCAGCCAUGCCACGUGUAUGAAGAAGGCCUUCGGGUUGUAAAGUACUUUCAGCGGGGAGGAAGGCGAUAAGGUUAAUAACCUUGUCGAUUGACGUUACCCGCAGAAGAAGCACCGGCUAACUCCGUGCCAGCAGCCGCGGUAAUACGGAGGGUGCAAGCGUUAAUCGGAAUUACUGGGCGUAAAGCGUGCGCAGGCGGCCCUUUAAGUCAGGUGUGAAAGCCCCGGGCUUAACCUGGGAAUGGCGCUUGAAACUGGAGGGCUUGGAGUGCGGCAGAGGAGGGUGGAAUUCCUGGUGUAGCGGUGAAAUGCGUAGAGAUCAGGAGGAACACCGAUGGCGAAGGCAGCCCCCUGGGCCGCGUCUGGCGCUCAGGCACGAAAGCGUGGGGAGCAAACAGGAUUAGAUACCUGGUAGUCCACGCCCUAAACGAUGUCGACUAGUUGUUGGGGGAGUUAGAUCCUUCGGUAACCACUAACGCGUGUAGUCGACCGCCUUGGGGAGUACGGCCGCAAGGUUAAACUCAAAGAAUUGACGG